UGCAGUGUGGCUUUGUGAAUAGAGCACUAGACUGGCAUUCAGGAGAGCUAGCUUCAAUUCCUGGCUCUGCCA
rnacentral:tRNA from 1 species